rnacentral:rRNA from 1 species
UACGAAGGGGGGCUAGCGUUGCUCGGAAUCACUGGGCGUAAAGCGCACGUAGGCGGACUCUUAAGUCGGUGGUGAAAUCCUGGAGCUCAACUCCAGAACUGCCUUCGAUACUGAGAGUCUCGAGUUCCCGGGAGAGGUGAGUGGAACUGCGAGUGUAGAGGUGAAAUUCGUAGAUAUUCGCAAGAACACCAGUGGCGAAGGCGGCUCACUGGCCCGGUACUGACGCUGAGGUGCGAAAGCGUGGGGAGCAAACAGG